UACAGAGGGGGGCAAGCGUUAUUCGGAAUUAUUGGGCGUAAAGGGCGCGUAGGCGGCCUGACAAGUGGAUGGUGAAAUCCCUCGGCUUAACCGAGGAACUGCCAUCCAGACUGUUUUGGCUUGAGACCGGGAGAGGUGAGUGGAAUUCCCAGUGUAGCGGUGAAAAUGCGUAGAUAUUGGGGAGGAACACCAGUGGCGAAGGCGGCUCACUGGACCGGUACUGACGCUGAUGCGCGAAAAGCGUGGGGGAGCAAAACGGGG
rnacentral:rRNA from 1 species